UACGGAGGGUGCGAGCGUUGUCCGGAAUCACUGGGCGUAAAGGCGCGUAGGCGGCCCGUCAAGCGUGUGGUGAAAGCCCGGGGCUCAACCCCGGGUCGGCCGUGCCGGACUGGCGGGCUCGAGCACUGUAGGGGCGGGUGGAAUUCCGGGUGUAGCGGUGGAAUGCGUAGAGAUCCGGAAGAACACCGGUGGCGAAGGCGGCCCGCUGGGCAGGAAGGCCCCUCACGGGGCCGGCUGACGCUGAGGCGCGACAGCGUGGGGAGCGAACAGG
rnacentral:rRNA from 1 species